CAAAACCAACUUAUGAUAAAAUCACCAAAGAAUGAAACGUUGAUCUGUGAAAAGAAAAGAGAAACAAUCAAGUUGGGAAGAGGGUGUCUUUUAAAAAUAAAAGAAAAGAAAAGAUACAAUCAAGAAAAAAAAAAGAAAAAGAAAAGCAAAUAAAAGAAUAAACAUCAAAGGAAAAAUUAUUGCAUUAAAAAGAAUGGACGGGUGAAAAAGAGAAUAAACAUAAGAAAGGAAGGAACAAGUAG
rnacentral:lncRNA from 1 species